rnacentral:rRNA from 1 species
UACGUAGGGGGGCAAGCGUUGUCCGGAAUCAUUGGGCGUAAAGAGCGCGUAGGCGGCCAGAUAAGUCCGGUGUGAAAGUCACAGGCUCAACCUGUGAAUGCCGCUGGAAACUGUCUGGCUAGAGUCCGGUAGGGGCGAGUGGAAUUCCUGGUGUAGCGGUGAAAUGCGCAGAUAUCAGGAGGAACACCGGUGGCGAAGGCGGGUCUCUGGGCCGAUACUGACGCUGAGGAGCGAAAGCGUGGGGAGCGAACAGG